rfam:Triticum aestivum genome assembly, contig: Triticum_aestivum_CS42_TGACv1_scaffold_482267_6AL
AAAGUACUCCCUCCGUCCCAAAAUUCUUGUCUUAGAUUUGUCUAGAUACGGAUGUAUCAAGUCACAUUUUAGUAUUAGAUACACCCGUAUCUAGACAAAUUUGAUACAUCCAUAUCUAGACAAAUCUAAGACAAGAAAUUUGGGACAGAUGGAGUAGUUG